UACAGAGGAUGCAAGCGUUAUCCGGAAUGAUUGGCGUAAAGCGUCUGUAGGUGGCUUUUAAGUCCGCCGUCAAAUCCCAGGGCUCAACUCUGGACAGGCGGUGGAAACUACCAAGCUGGAGUACGGUAGGGGUAGAGGGAAUUUCCGGUGGAGCGGUGAAAUGCGUAGAGAUCGGAAAGAACACCAACGGCGAAAGCACUCUGCUGGGCCGACACUGACACUGAGAGACGAAAGCUAGGGGAGCGAAUGGG
rnacentral:rRNA from 1 species